rnacentral:rRNA from 1 species
CAAUUCUUGCUAGAUGCUCCGCGAGGGUUCUAUGUCGUCGAAGGUGAAGUUUUCAAUUAUGCCGACUUGGACGAUGGAGA